rnacentral:rRNA from 1 species
AUUGAACGCUGGCGGCAUGCUUUACACAUGCAAGUCGAACGGCAGCGCGGGCUUCGGCCUGGCGGCGAGUGGCGAACGGGUGAGUAGUACAUCGGAACGUGCCCAGUAGUGGGGAUAGCUCGGCGAAAGCCGGAUUAAUACCGCAUACGACCUGAGGGUGAAAGCGGGGGAUCUUCGGACCUCGCGCUAUUGGCGCGGCCGAUGGCAGAUUAGCUAGUUGGUGGGGUAAAGGCCUACCAAGGCGACGAUCUGUAGCUGGUCUGAGAGGACGACCAGCCACACUGGGACUGAGACACGGCCCAGACUCCUACGGGAGGCAGCAGUGGGGAAUUUUGGACAAUGGGCGAAAGCCUGAUCCAGCAAUGCCGCGUGUGUGAUGAAGGCCUUCGGGUUGUAAAGCACUUUUGGCGGGAACGAAAAGGACUGUGCCAAUACCACGGUUCGAUGACGGUACCCGCAGAAUAAGCACCGGCUAACUACGUG